rnacentral:rRNA from 1 species
GUCUACGGCCCAACCAUCGUAAACAAGCACUAUCUCGUCGCAUCCGGGAGGUUAUGCAGGGUGGUCCUGGUCUGUAGGUGGAUGGGAAGCCCCCUGGGAAUAUUUGAUGCUGUAGGCA